rnacentral:rRNA from 1 species
UGGGGAAUCUUGCGCAAUGGGCGAAAGCCUGACGCAGCGACGCCGCGUGGGGGAUGACGGCCUUCGGGUUGUAAACCUCUUUUACCACUUACGCAGGCUCUCAGUGUUCUGGGGGUUGACGGUCAGUGGGGAAUAAGGACCGGCUAACUACGUGCCAGCAGCCGCGGUAAUACGUAGGGUCCGAGCGUUGUCCGGAAUUAUUGGGCGUAAAGAGCUCGUAGGCGGCGUGUCGCGUCUGCUGUGAAAGACCGGGGCUCAACUUCGGUUGUGCAGUGGAUACGGGCAUGCUUGAGGUAGGUAGGGGAGACUGGAAUUCCUGGUGUAGCGGUGAAAUGCGCAGAUAUCAGGAGGAACACCGGUGGCGAAGGCGGGUCUCUGGGCCUUACCUGACGCUGAGGAGCGAAAGCAUGGGGAGCGAACAGGAUUAGAUACCCUGGUAGUCCAUGCCGUAAACGUUGGGCGCUAGGUGUGGGGACUUUCCACGGU